rnacentral:sRNA from 1 species
CCAAAUCUAGCUUUGCCCACGAAUGGCAUCCCAACAGAGUUAAAAAAAACUGCUUGCAAGGGCAUGAACUACUGACCCCAGCCUAGAUGACCUUUAAGCUUGCUUUCAGCCUGCAUUCUGGAGUUCUUAGCUUUUCAGCUGAGGCUUGUAUUAAACGGUUUGAUUUGUCAUCUUGUGUCUGCCCCCUUGUGGACAUUGUUUUGGGAAGAAAAUAAAAUAUUUAAUUGCUCGAAGAACAAUAUAAUGACUAUCUCACCCUCCAAAAAUUCACUUGCAUCACACUGUUUUUCAAUUAUUCAUGUUCACUUCUAGUCCUCGUUCAUAAAUGUACAUCAUUUUACAUGGUUGAUUCAUAUCAGGGACAUAAUUUUGUACUUUUCCCCACUCCCUGAUAAUGAUGUUUUUACAGUAAAAUAUAAAAAUGCUUGUGAUUCAAUAAGCUUUUAAAAUAUUA